UCUGGCCCUGAACUCUCCAUCCUCUUCCCCAUCCUCCUGCUGCAGCCUCCUGAGUAGUUGGAAUUACAGCUGGGAUGUGGAAUUACAGUAUAGGUGUGUACCACCACACCUGGCUUUACUCUUUAAAAACCAGAGUUUUAAAAGCAACCAGAUUUUUAAAGGUGUGUUAGGAUCACAUAGUAGGACAUCUUUAUAAGUGUAUUUGUUAAUUUGCUGAAUAGGCUUUGUGUUUUUUAAAAAUAAGUAACUAAUAGAAUCCAGAUUUCAUUUUAGGUCCAUUAAACUGGUGGUUUACCUGAACAAGCAUUAUUAGAAUCUGGAGGUAGGGAGCAAGAAAUAAAAUAAGCUUGGAUUGAAGUGUUGAGGAUCAAACCAGGACCUUGAGCUACCACUGAGCUCUCCUAAUUCUUAUUUAUUUAUUUAUUGUUUUGCGAUAGGGUCUUCUAGCCCUACCACUUUCCCUGUUUUUCAAUGCUGGGAAUUCAACCUAGGGACUUGAGCAUGCUAGGCAAGUGCUCUGCUGCUGAGCCACAUCUCCAGCUGUUGAGACAUGAUGUUCUCCUAUACUAGGUUCAAUUAAAUAAUACAUUAAAAUUUAUAUCUAAACAAUUCUACAUUUGAGCCAUCAAAUUUAGAGG